GGCUUAUUAAAUGCAAAACGUGUACACUCUUUACUGAAUAAUAAAUAGAUGAAGCAAACAGCCCCUGAGGCCAACUAGGAAGAAAGACAACAGGGACAGUGGACACGGACACAGGCUAAAAAGAAAACAUGGUGCAAAGCCAGAGGUGCCUGUUGGCUGUCCAAAUCUAGGGCUCCACACAAAGGUGACCUCCUGACAAGUUGAGCAAAGGAGGCUCAUGGGGGCACACCAGGGGUGUACUUGGAAGUCAAACCACACUUGCAAGAUAAGGAAAAGCAUGAUUUGUUAUUGUCUGCAAAUAAGUGGAUCUCUACUACACUGAAAAUGAAUGUAAAAUAGGGAUAGUCUCUGCUGCCCAGGCAUUCAGCAUGCCAAUUAGAAAACCAGGGGCAGGGGCAACAUGAGGAGGUGCCAUGUAGUUUUAUGAAUGUUCCCCUGUCUCUGGGCAGACACUUGUGGGCCCUAGUGAGGACAUAAUGGAUGGUGAGUGAGCUUCAUGCCCUCCUCCGCACAGGAGGUGAUGCCCAUGAAGCCAAGGGCCAGAAGCGCUUGGAGGAUUAGAAAAUGGACAUUUUCCUUCUGUUCUUAAACCAUUCCGUGAACAGCUGGGUACCGAGAAAAUGAGCAGGUGAUUUCAGAUUUACGAAGCUGCAUCCUGACCCCCUAGGCAGAGCCUUUGAGAAGAGAAGGUGGGAGGCUGACAGAGAUAGGUAGAUGUGGGCAUCUGAACCCAAAACAGUAGCUCUGAUUACAUAUGGACCCUUGAACCAGCUGCUAGAAAGGGCUGCCAUGGUGCCAGGAAACUGUCCCUCUCUCAGCGUGGAGAAGCCAGUCAACAGAUUCUAAAUGCUCAAGAAUUAUCAUGUGGGAGUUCAUGACAUCUUUUUAAGAGUAAAUGAAAUCUUCAAAGCCGAAAUAGAUCAAGUCCAAUCUCUUCAUUUUAUAGAUGAAGAUUGGGUAAGUUAAGUUACUUACUCAGGGUCACCUAUUUUUUUUCAGGGUCACUUAUCGAAUGAAUAAAGGCUGGAUCUAAAUCUUUGUGAUCCUGAUU
rnacentral:lncRNA from 12 species